UAAUAUAUUUUCCCAAUAAACUACUUUGAGC
rnacentral:piRNA from 1 species